GAAAGGUUCCACGUGAACAGCAAUUGGACGUGGGUUAGUCGAUCCUAAGAGAUAGGAGAAAUCCGUUUCAAAGCGAAUGUUCUUCGGUACAUUCCGCCUAUCGAAAGGGAAUCUGGUUAAUAUUCCAGAACCAGGACGUGGAUAUUGAGUGGUAACACAAGCAAAGCCGUAGACGUCGGCGGGAGCCCUGAGGAGAGUUUUCUCUUCUUCUUAACAAGUACACUGACCCUGGAAUCGGAUUGACCGGAGAUAGGGUUGGAGUCUUGGGAAAGGUGGAUAGUUUUUGUCUCCUUUUCUUCGCUCUCGUCUUCCC
rnacentral:rRNA from 1 species